rnacentral:rRNA from 1 species
GUUUGAUCCUGGCUCAGGAUGAACGCUGGCGGCGUGCUUAACACAUGCAAGUCGAACGAACCUUCGGGUUAGUGGCGGACGGGUGAGUAACGCGUGAGAAUCUGCCCUCAGGAGGGGGAUAACGGCUGGAAACGGCCGCUAAUACCCCAUAUGCCGAGAGGUGAAAUGAAUUUCGCCUGAGGAUGAGCUCGCGUCUGAUUAGCUAGUUGGUGUGGUAAAGGCUCACCAAGGCAUCGAUCAGUAGCUGGUCUGAGAGGAUGAUCAGCCACACUGGGACUGAGACACGGCCCAGACUCCUACGGGAGGCAGCAGUGGGGAAUUUUCCGCAAUGGGCGCAAGCCUGACGGAGCAACGCCGCGUGAGGGAUGAAGGCCUCUGGGCUGUAAACCUCUUUUAUCAAGGAAGAAGAUCUGACGGUACUUGAUGAAUAAGCCACGGCUAAUUCCGUGCCAGCAGCCGCGGUAAUACGGGAGUGGCAAGCGUUAUCCGGAAUUAUUGGGCGUAAAGCGUCCGCAGGCGGUCUUGAAAGUCUGUUGUUAAAGCGUGGAGCUCAACUCCAUUUCAGCAAUGGAAACUAGAAGACUAGAGUGUGGUAGGGGCAAAGGGAAUUCCCGGUGUAGCGGUGAAAUGCGUAGAUAUCGGGAAGAACACCAGUGGCGAAGGCGCUCUGCUGGGCCAUAACUGACGCUCAUGGACGAAAGCCAGGGGAGCGAAAGGGAUUAGAUACCCCUGUAGUCCUGGCCGUAAACGAUGAACACUAGGUGUCGGGGGAAUCGACCCCCUCGGUGUCGUAGCCAACGCGUUAAGUGUUCCGCCUGGGGAGUACGCACGCAAGUGUGAAACUCAAAGGAAUUGACGGGGGCCCGCACAAGCGGUGGAGUAUGUGGUUUAAUUCGAUGCAACGCGAAGAACCUUACCAGGGUUUGACAUCCUGCGAAUCCCUUGGAAACUUGGGAGUGCCUUCGGGAGCGCAGUGACAGGUGGUGCAUGGCUGUCGUCAGCUCGUGUCGUGAGAUGUUGGGUUAAGUCCCGCAACGAGCGCAACCCACGUCUUUAGUUGCCAGCAUUAAGUUGGGCACUCUAGAGAGACUGCCGGUGAUAAACCGGAGGAAGGUGUGGAUGACGUCAAGUCAUCAUGCCCCUUACAUCCUGGGCUACACACGUACUACAAUGCUACGGACAAAGGGCAGCAAACUCGCGAGAGCUAGCAAAUCCCAUAAACCGUGGCUCAGUUCAGAUCGUAGGCUGCAACUCGCCUACGUGAAGGAGGAAUCGCUAGUAAUCGCAGGUCAGCAUACUGCGGUGAAUACGUUCCCGGGCCUUGUACACACCGCCCGUCACACCAUGGAAGUUGGCCACGCCCGAAGUCGUUACUCCAACCCGCAAGGGAGGAGGAUGCCGAAGGUGGGGCUGAUGACUGGGGUGAAGUCGAAACAAGGUA